GUCGCUUAAAAAAACAUUGUCUAUAUUCGCGUGUUUCUGCUGGGGUCUCCGUAGGCAAAUUCGCGUGAGAGUCUUAAGUUUUCUUAUUUUGACAUAAUAGCUAUUUUGCAAUAAGUAUAUUGAUAUUAAAUUUAUUGAAUCGAUAUUUUAAGUUUCACGCCAGUUGUACCAAAGGUUAUAAGCGCUAUAGCGCAUCAUAAGCAUAGAUAUCUUAUAUAAGAUAUCUAUGAUCAUAAGUUUCAGAUGGCAUGCAACAUGUAGGCAGUGCGUACCUAUUUUUUUGAGUUAUGGAACUACUUACAUAACUCUGGAAGUUUCGCAUCAAAUUAAAAACCUUUUUCAGCGUAUUGAGACAUAUUCUUCUUCUUUUAGAAUGUUGAAAGAAUUUGAAUGUACAUCUUAGUUUAAGCCUACUAGUCUCCAUCCAAGGAAGUCGGUAUUUUCGUUCGCCGAACAACUAAUGAUUAGGUACAAAAUUCAAACUAAAAAUUCUCAAAAGUGCAACCUACCUGGUGUCUAAAACACUUUUAGGGUUAAAAUAGAAUACUUAAAGUUAUGUUAUUCGCAAUAAAACUUGUCGGCAAAAGGAAUAUGAAGGAGUGCAAAAUUCAUAAAUUAUGGCUAUAAAUAGCUCUAUUGUUUACCUUUGUGAUAACCGGAAACACGUUCAGCGUUACUCGCGGAGUUUUUAUAAAUUUAUAUCAGCAAUUAAUAUAAAUAUAAAAUAGUGUUUAUAAGUUCUUAUAUUUGAAUACAAACACCGCCUUGUAAUUUUUUUAAGCUUUCGGAAAGCCUUUACAAUUG